AAACUUUCAACAACGGAUCUCUUGGUUUUGGCAUCGAUGAAGAACGCAGCGAAAUGCGAUAAGUAAUGUGAAUUGCAGAAUUCAGUGAAUCAUCGAAUCUUUGAACGCACAUUGCACCUUCUGGUAUUCCGGGAGGUAUGCCUGUUUGAGCGUCAUUACAACCCUCACG
rnacentral:rRNA from 1 species